CCUGUGUCCCCUGCAUUGGCAGGCAGAUUCCUAACCACUGCACCACGAGGGAAGUCCCACAAACCUUUUUUAAAAAGCUGUCUACCCACCUUCUCCUGGUAUCAGUUAUUCUUGGAUUUUGAAAUAUUCUUAAACAUUAUUCCAUGUUACCAUGUUCUCUGUCAUUCUUUCAUCAAACAUGCCCCUCAACAGUCAGCAAUACUAUCAUUUUCCAGUUCAGUACUGCUCUUGUCUUUUUAAGGUGGACUCAGGUAUUUGGUAACUGCGUUUACCCUUUUAAUUUCAGAGUCCUGAGCUCAGAUCCAAAGAUUAUGCCAGCAGACCUUUCUGUUGUUGGUGGUGAAAUAGAGGAAGUGUGUGGUGGCUCAGGGGCUUUCUGUGGAAGACUCUUGAAGAGAGGAAAGAGGAAGAAGGGUCAGAGCCUCCCAAAGUGGAAACCCAGGAGGGAGAGCCCGCUGUAAAAAAGGCCCAGUUAAACCCUCAGGUGUACAUGGAUAUCAAGGUCAGGAACAAGCCAGCAGGCCGCAUCCAGAUGCUCCUGCGUUCAGAUGUCGUUCCCACGACAGCAGAUAUCUGAUCCAUUUGGAGUUUAUUCUUGCAGUGAGGUAAGUUGUAAAUCCAGCUUCACCUUUUUUCAAAUGUUUGUUCAUAUGUCCCAGCACCAUUUUAGAAAAUGUCCAUUUUUGCCCCAACGAUUUUAAGAUGACAGCUUUUAUGAAAUACUGAAUUAUAUGUACCUUGGUCUGUUUCUGGACUGUCUGUUCUAUUCCCCUGGUCUGUUCAGUCUCUUUGUGUGCUAUACCACUAGUAAACGUUUACUUCAAGUGAAGGUAAUAUAUACUUUCUCAGAUUCUGAGAGCUGGAGGUUUAACUCUCCAGUUAGAUAUUUUUAACCCCGGCACCUUUUCCUUUCUCGGCCCCGGAGAAUUUCCGCUGCCUGUGCACCCAUGAGAAGGGCUUUGGCUUCAAGGGCAGCAGCUUCCACCGCAUCAUCCCCCAGUUCAUGUGCCAGGGCGGCGAUUUCACCAACCACAGCAGCACCAGGGGCAAGUCUAUCUACGGGAAAGUUUGAUGAUGAAAACUUCAUCCUCAAACACAUGGGACCAGGUGGGACCCCAUCGAUGGGUGGUGAUCGGCGGGCCGGGCUGGGGCCAGGUGACUGUGCGGGGGGAGUGAUGGGCUGUGGUUCUGGUCUCCAGACUGCCACCCAGUGAACGGAGGAGAGGCAUUCAGCCUGGCUAGAGCUUUAGGCUUCUAAAGGUUUUUUUGUUUUUUAUUUUGACUUACUCAAGUUCAUGCUUGCCUCCUUUUAAGAGGAAAAGGCGUAUAGCCUGGUCCUGCUGCUACAAUGAUGUGUUGUUACUGUUUUUGUAACUUUUUAUUUUAUAUAAUUUCAAGUUUACCAAAAAUUUACCAGAACAGAACAAGGAGCCCCUGCCUGUAAACCUUUUAUAUGCCGUUCACCCACAUCACCAGUUGUUUGCUGGUGACCAUCGUUCCCCACUUAUUCUAGUCUCUUUCUGUAUAUAUUUAUAGACAAUGUCUAUUUGGGAGCAGCCAUUUGAGAGUAAGUCAGAGACCUCACACACUUUCACCACUAAAUACCUCAUUGUGUUAUUUCCUAAGAACAAGGGCAUUUUUAGUAUUACCACAAUAUAUAGUUAUCAAACGCAGAAAAUUAACACUGAUACAAUACUGUCACCUACAGUGCAUAUUCAGGUUUCAUCGUGGUCACAGUAAUGUCCUUUCUGAGGUAUUUAUAGUUGAAAUGUAUCAUCUGCUCACACAGUCGUGGUCCAACCCCUCCCCUCCCCCACCCCCAAAACACUGACGUUUGUUUGCGUCUGCCUCCUCAUUUCCCGGGCUCCGUCACCAGCUGUGCUUCCCUCACUCUUGCCUUCCAGCUACACUGCCUUUUGCUUGCUCUCUCCUGCUCACCUGGUACAAAACUCCCAUGUGCCCACGCACCGGGUCCCCUUCAGGUUGAGGAGCACAGCCCAGCAGUCCUCACAGAUCGCUGAUUGAUCCUCAUCCACAGUCUGAGAAGAAAACACUCCUUUUCCUCGAUCCUCAGAUCUCCAGCGUUGCCCCCUCCACUCUCCCUCCCAGCUAAUGAUCUUGCUUCUUAUCUCACUGAGCAGUAGGAACAAUGAGAAAGAUGUGCUGUCCUCUCUUCUCAGUUCCCAUCAGACCCUGGGUCCUCCCCUCCCUUUACUGCCUCCUCCAGUCCCCCUCAUGCUGCAGUGCUGCCAGCCUUUAAAGAAAUAAAAUAACUCUCCCUCGACCCUGUGUUCCCCCUCCAGCUGCCACAUUAAUUCUCUGGUCCCUUUUUAGCAAAACUUCUUAAGAGUUGUGUAAGCUCAUGGCUUCUGUUUCUUUCCUCAGCCCCCUCCAGUGAGACUUCCUUCCCCACCACGCCUUGCUCUUGUUGAAUAUGCCAACAGCCUCCAUCUUGCCAGCAGCCAAGCCUCGGCCCUCUUUUUCCACCUCUCAGUAGCACUUGAUACUAUGAAUCACGCCCUUCCUGAACCCCUUUCUUCACUUGCUGGCAGAACACCUCAUCUUCCGUUCUUUUUGUGCCUCAUAGGCUGCUCGUCUUCAGUCCCCUUUCCUUUCUCCUCCUCCCCACCUCCAAGUUGCUAGAGGGACUCAAAGCUCAGCCCUGGUUUUUCUUCUCUGUCUACACUUACUCUUUACUUAACGGUUCUCGUGCCCACCUCUAAGAACUGAUACUUCACUAUAUGCUGAAAUGAAAGUCACAGCUAAUAUAUCCUGUCAAUACCUAAUUUUUAAAAAGUAGUAUUAUAACAUAAAGGAAAGUAAUUUAGAAUAAAAUAAUAUGCAUUUUGGUAUUUAGAUGCUUGGACACAACUGCAUGUAUGGAAUAUUCAAACACAUGAACUUCUGCCUGGAGCAGGUUAGCAACAUGGACUGACUGACACUGGCAUGGCAUGUCACCAGAGUCACGGCAACAUGAUUUUCUGAAACAGUGAAAAUCUCUUGGUAAUAUUCUGAACAAAAAAAAUGUGACUAUUCCCUCAGUUUAUGUGGUAGGUCCAUUUCUGAAAAAAUUCUACAUAAUAAAUCUUUGGAUUUACAUGUAAAAUGGAGUUAGGUUCUAGGCUUAGAUCAUUAUAAACAGAUAUUUGUCAUCUGCAUGAAUGUUUGUCUGGGCACUGAAAGUCUAAGAGGAUUUAGAAUAAUUCUUCAUUAGGUGGGACAUUGCAGGACAUGCCUGCUUCCUCCCCAGUAUUACUGACAACCAAAACCAUGCCUUGAACUUUCCAAAUAGCCUCGAGGGGGCAGCAUUACCCUAUUUAGAGUCACUGCCCUAGACAAUCCUGUCCCGUCCCGGGGCUUUCCCUCAUGUCUGCUGAAUUUAUCUCGCCCCCGUGUAUGUCUCGCUGCUGCUCUCCCGCUGUCUUCCCUGGACAUCCCAGCGGGGUCGCAGACCUCACGUGCCCAAGCAGCUCUUGCUCUUCAGCCCCGAGCGCUCCCUCCUCAACUCCCCUGUUUCAGCCACCAUCUACCCGGCUGCUUGGUCAGAAGCUUAGGACUCAUCCUUGCCCCCCUCCUCUGUUGCCUGGAUGGCAGGUGCAUCUGUCUUCAGUUCACCUCCUGGUGCAGCUGCUCUUCACCUUCCUCCACCACCACCAGCGUCCCCGAGCUCGUCUCCCUCCUUCCACUCUUGCCUCUUCCCCCGCAGAGUCUAAUCUCUGCAAGGUGGUCAGAGCAGUCCUUGUUAAGAGUAACUCUCAUCACAUUGCUCUCCUGCUGACAGCCCCCCCGUGGCGCAUCUCGUGUAGCAUCUGGUCCUACAGGCCGGUUGCCCUGCGUCCUGGCCCCUCUCCAAGCUCAUGGACUGUGCUGCUCACCCUCUCUGCCCCCACUGCAGUCUGGCUGUUCCUCAGACACCCAGAGCUCACUCCCCACAGGGCCGUGGCAGGUGCUGGCUCCUCUCCUGGAGGCUUCCUCCGCCAGCACCCACAGGCUUCGCCCCUCAUGUCCUCUGGGCAUCGCCCACAGGUCGUCUAGCCCAAGAAGCCUGCCCUUGCCUCUCUAAAAUGGGCUUUCCUACCGUCUUGCUCUUCUUUUUAAUCAGCUUCAUUUUUCUUCACGCACUGGUUAUCUGAAAUCAUAUUAUAAAUUUACUCUUUUACUUAAUUAUUGUCUUAUGUCUCCUGAGAAUGUCAGCCUCAUGAGGGCAGGACUUAGUCUUUCUUGUUCACCAUUGUAUUCUGGAACAGUGUCUGACACACAGUAAACCUGCGGUAAAUAUUUAAAUAUUUAAAAUAGAUAUUCACAGGGCCAGUCCAUUAUGUGUCAGGCACCCUGAUCAACUCCGGCCUGAAAGUAGAGUGGGACUCAGUCCCCAUUUGAAGGGAGCACGCGUUUUAGAGGCCCAGCCACGAGGGGUGGAGUUUCUUAUUGCCACAGAUGAACUGCAGCUCCUCAUGCUACACUCCAUCAGCCCCUGCCAAACCUGGGCCUUUUAGACUAAACUGGGACGUCACUUCCUCCAGAAAGCCUUCUGUGAUACUGUCACCAGUGUGUGUGUGUCUGUCUGAGGUGACUGUCUUUUGUGCUCUCAUUCACUGAGCAAACAUCUCUGCCACUAGGCUUCACUAUUUCAGAGCAUAAUUAUCUUUAUUUUUUAACAGUUUCAUUGAGAUAGAAUUCACGUACCAUUCAGUUCACCCAUUUAAAGUAUACAUUUCAGGACUUCCCUGGCGGUCCAGUGGUUAAAGACUCCGUGCUCCCAAUGCAGGGUGUGUGAGUUCGAUCCCUGGUUGGAGAACUAAGAUCCCGCAUGCUGCAUGAUGUGGCCAAAAAAUAAAAAUAAAGUAUACAUUUCAGUGGUUUCUAAUUAAUUCACAUAGUCAUGUAGCCAUCCCCACAUGUAAUUUUAGAAUGUUUUCAUCACCUCCAAAAAGAAGCCCCACACUCUUCAGCAGUCAUUCCCUGAUCCCCUUGCCCCCAGCCCUAGGCAAACACUGAUCUUCUUUGUGGAUUUGCCUAUGAUGGGCAUUUCAUGUAAACACAAUCAUAAAAUUGUAGGCUUUUGUGACUGGCUUCUUUCAUUUACCAUAAUGUUUUAAAAAAUGUUCAUCUACAAUAUAGUGUGUAUCAGUAUUUCAUUCUUUUUUUAUUGCCAAUUAAUAUUCCACUUAUGGGUAUACCACAGUGUAUUCAUAAGUUGAUGGACAUUUGGGUUGUUUCUAAUUUUUGGCUAUUAUGAUGCUGCUGUGAACAUUCAUAUAUACGUUUUUGUGUAGGCAUGUGUAUUUAUUUCUCUUAAGUAUAUACCUAGAAUUGGAAAACUAUGUGUUUUUUUGUAGAUAUCCUUUAUCAGAUUAAGGAAGUUCCCUUUUAUUCCGCGUUUGUUGGGUGUUCUUAUCAUGAAAAGGUGUUGGAUUUUUUUCCUGCAUCUAUUGAGAUUAUUAUGUGGGUUUUGUUCUUUAUUCUAUUGAUACGGUUUAUUACAUUGGUUUCUGGAUAUUAAACCAAGCUUGCAUUCCUGAGAUGAAUCAAUAUUUAACUUGUGAGUGACUCUUUUCCGCUAGACUGUGGGCUCCACCAGGCCUGGGACCAGUGUCCCCAGGGUUCAACAGGUGCCUGGUUAUAAAGUAAUAAGUAUUUGUUGAAUGAAUUAAUGAAAGGACAAACUAGUAUAAAAUGAUCGAAACAACCAUGCUUAGCGUUUCAUUGACUAUCAGUUGAGUGGAAGACAAGGCAUCCAAGACUCUGUACAUCCCAGAGUCUGAGCCUGCCUGUCUGAAAGGCUGACAGCAGUGUGCACAGACAUCCUCUGAGGGCCAGACAUCCCAGCAGCAUUUACGCUCCUCCCUCUACUACCAGACGUCCUGAGGGCUGGGAGCAGGGUGGAGGGGGUCGAUGUGGUCGUUCUCUCCCCCAGGCCUGCUCUCCAUGGCCAACUCUGGCCCAAACACCAAUGGCUCCCAGUUCUUCCUGACGUGAUAAGACGGAUUGGCUGGACGGCAAGCACGUGGUAUUUGGGGAGAUCACGGAAGGCCUGGACGUCUUGCGGCAGAUUGAGGCCCAGGGCAGCAAGGACGGGAAACCCAAGCAGAAGGUCAUCAUCUCCGACUGUGGGGAGUGUGCAGACCCAGUGCCGAGUGCUCCGAACAGACCUGCUCCCCGUGCUGGCCUUGCCAGGGCAGAGCCAGUAGCCCGUUCUACAGAGGGAGGAGCCGGCUGCCCGGUGCGCAGUGUGGUCAGAUCAACAAGAGGCAGAGCCAGGGCUUGUUGCCAGCCGGUCUGCGAGCUACAAAGCUCACCCUCUCCUGUCACAGCUUCUUUCCCUAUGAAGUUACAGGGAAUUUCUUGAAGAAUGUCACCUACUUUCCUACAUAGAGACACACAAGAAUAGGGCUUCGCCCGAUGAGCUGGCCUCUGGGCCAGGAUCACGCUUCGGUUAUGAAGAUGUGCACCAGGGGUGAGGUGACAGAGCAAUGUGCCCACACAGCAUGGCCCCAGGCGCUGCUGUUCCUUCGGGCCCACCCUCUCCGGCAGUGCUUUACUUUGCCGCCAGUGAGUCUGAGCUGACCGCCCUCAUUUAUGCUUCUCAUGUGCAGCCUUGAAUGUGACCCAGACUGCCAAGGGCAACCAGAUAAACGAGGUGGGCCUAGUGACUGACCACUGCCACCUCAUCAGCUUUCCGUCCUUAAUUGUCUCCCUUCUCUGAAGCCUUUUCUAUUUGAUUUCAUUUGGUGGCCACCUGGAUGGCUGAAGGUGCUAGAAGUGUCAGGAAGGCCAUGACUGCUGGACUUUUGGCUUUAUUGCACGAAACGGGAGUCGUAUCACAAUCCUACGUUCCUUUUGUUCUACACCUCUGAGGGCAGGGCAGUCCACAUCUUCAAAAGAUUCACUUCAUAAACUUCCCUGGUGCCCCAAACCAUGCCAGGUUAUGUGCUUAGGCACUGAAGAAACCUAACACUGACAUUUGUCAAAAGUUUCUAAGCCUCCACUGCCCUUGAUGUUGGGAGGAGAGAUCACUGAAUAAGGCCCUGAAAUGGCAGGUUUCAAGUCCUAGGACAGCUGGGCACUCAGGCCAUGUUUUGGCGCUCUGAAAAGAGAUGGCCAGAAUGGCAGGCAGAUUCUCUGGCUGGAACGGCCUUUGGAGACGUAAGAGUCCUUGUAUGCCUCAUGCCAGAGACAGGAAACUGAACCCUGGAUCAGUGGGCACUUGCCCAGACAUCAGUGGCUGAGCUGGAGCCAGAAUACGGGUCUCCUGACACUUGGGCUGGUACCUGGUCCGCUCACUGCCAGCCUCAGCUCAAAGCCCCAGGCUAAAGAGGAGACCACCAACUUCCUCUGUCCAUGGGGAGGGUCACUUCCUGUGCACUGGCUCCCAGAGGCCCUCCCAGGUCCAGGCGGAGGGGCUGCUGUCCUGCAGCAAGGCCCCAGCCUUCACCCCU